rnacentral:rRNA from 1 species
UAAUACGGAGGGUGCAAGCGUUAUCCGGAUUCACUGGGUUUAAAGGGUGCGUAGGUGGGCAAGUAAGUCAGUGGUGAAAUCUCCGGGCUUAACCCGGAAACUGCCAUUGAUACUAUUUGUCUUGAAUACUGUGGAGGUCAGCGGAAUAUGUCAUGUAGCGGUGAAAUGCUUAGAUAUGACAUAGAACACCAAUUGCGAAGGCAGCUGGCUACACAAAUAUUGACACUGAGGCACGAAAGCGUGGGGAUCAAACAGGAUUAGAUACCCUGGUAGUCCACGCCCUAAACUAUGGAUACUCGACAUUUGCGAUAAACUGCAAGUGUCUGAGCGAAAGCAUUAAGUAUCCCACCUGGGAAGUACGAUCGCAAGAUUG